UCUCUGGUAGUAUAGUGGUCAGUAUGUGAGCUUGUCAAGCGCUUUCUAGUAAAAAGGUCUGACAUCGCUCGAGACCCGGGUUCAAUUCCCGGCCGGAGAG
rnacentral:tRNA from 1 species